CCAUCUCUGUCUUAUGAAAGCUGGUUAGGGCAUGGUGCUGAUAACGCCAAGGUUGCAGGUUCAACCCCCCUGUGGGAUGGC